AUGUAUGUGAAAGAAAUAUUGGAUAUUUCUCCUUCAUAACAUCGGGGUCUCUUGAACUCCUUUUUGGCAGUAGUUGUCAGUGAAUGGGUCUUGGCAAUACCCCAAAAUCAGAUAAUGUUGGUCUCUGGUAUUAAGAAAAAAUAGGUAAGAUAAUUUCAAAAAAAUUGAAUUGACUAGCUUCACAAGUAGACUUUGAAAGCAUGUGCAAAACUAUUCCAUUAAAAGAUGUGUUUUUCCUACUUUCCCUCUGAAACGAUUUUAAUAUAAUGACUGUGUUUACAGAAUGCUGAACUGUGGUUUGUUCAACAAGCCAAGGGCCAUCUUGCAGAGAAGCAAACAAAUUAAGCUUUUUUAAAAAA